rnacentral:rRNA from 1 species
AUUGAACGCUGGCGGCAGGCCUAACACAUGCAAGUCGAACGAGUGGCGGACGGGUGAGUAAUGUCUGGGAAACUGCCUGAUGGAGGGGGAUAACUACUGGAAACGGUAGCUAAUACCGCAUACCAUCAGAUGUGCCCAGAUGGGAUUAGAUAGUGGGUGAGGUAACGGCUCACCUAGGCGACGAUCCCUAGCUGGUCUGAGAGGAUGACCAGACACACUGGAACUGAGACACGGUCCAGACUCCUACGGGAGGCAGCAGUGGGGAAUAUUGCACAAUAGGCGCAGGACUGAUGCAGCCAUGCCACUUGUAUGAAGAAGGCCUUCGGGUUGUAAAGUACUAUCAGCGGGGAGGCGUUACCCACAGAAGAAGCACCGGCUAACUCCUUGCCAGCCGCCGCGGUAAUAC